AAUCAGUGCACGGAGGAGGAAGAGGGAAAAGUCAAGUGCAUCUAGCAAUGCUUCUAUUACAGAGAAAGACACAUCCUGACACUGCCCACUGCUGCAAAACCCCACUCUGAAAGGCAUUUUCAUGUUGGCACCUGGCUACGGAGGCCAAGAGGAGGGUUCUGGGAGCUGAGGAAUGACUUUGGGCAGCGGGGCAAGGAUUGAAAUGAAUCCCAGAAGACCUCGGCAAGAGGACAGCUGCUGAAAAGGACCAGCUAGGUGUUUGCCUAGGUGGAUGGCAGUCACCUCCUUGCAGCCACUAGAGGGGCCUACCCAGUGGCUCUGCUAGAAUGCAAUGGGACUGGGCUCAGUCACACCGAUGAGUCCCACGGGAAAGGACACCAAGGGCCUCCAACUCCGUUCCGGGGAAGCGUGAGUCCAGAUGAUGACCGGGGCCCAGGGCCCCCACAAGGAAGUCCAUUUGGGGGCCGGCUUGGGCCGAUUCUGUGACCAAGGCUCAAAGUACCCCAGGUCCUGUGGAGCUGAGGGUAAACCCCCUCUGGAGGCUUUAACCUCAGACAGACAUAACUCUGGAGAGACUGGGGUUGUCCUUUGUCCUCCCUCAAAAUAAAAUAUCGCUUUGGCUUUUGAGUUCAUUUGGAGUGGGAAACGCAAGGACACACUGAACCAUAAA